rnacentral:lncRNA from 1 species
CUAUCUUCUCCCAAAUCAAAACCCACCCUGGCGAAAACCAUCCCCAUGCCUUGCCAUCUCCGACUGCACAUCAGUCUGCUUCGGUGCCACCUCACGGUUCACCAUCUCUGUCCAAGGUUUGUUCAUGCAACAAGAAACAUUAAUCGAAGUUGUAAUACAUAAAAGAAAAAACAAUAACAUCAAAUAUAUAUGUUUUGACUUUCAAUUUUUUUCUGAAUUCAUAAGUAGAACUAUGAAUAUCUAAGUGAGGAAUUCCAGGAUAUAUUAUUCUAUUUUGUCUAUAAUGAUCGCGGUAGUUACUAUAGUUUCAACUCUAAUAGUUUUUAAGAGUUGAAAUGUACGGAUUACAAUUUAGUGUAUUUGAGUCUGUUUGAUAAUUUGUCUGAUAAUAUGAUGGUUGUUCUGUGCAAAAUUUAGAGAGAACAAUGUAAAAUUUUGCAGCCUCUAUUCAUUGAAAUUUUGACAUCGUUUUCACACAUUGUAAAGUUUGCUUUCAUAAUCUUCAAGUCCAAGAACAGUGUAAUAGACAAACGUAAUCCAAGAGCAGCCUAUUGGAGAUAUUGGAUAUUAUUAACCUUGUAUGGUGUACUAAAAAAUGAGUUUAAGAUGGUGGGACUAAUGAGACAUUGACUAGAUUUGGAAACUGUUACUUUUUUUUGUCUAUACAUCUCUGUAAGUUCAUCAAUAUUAAAUUCAUGCAUUUCCGUUAUCUUCUCAAGUAGUAGUUUCGUUUGUGCAUUCCUAACUAUUGGUUUGCUUGCUUGAAUUGUUACAGUGAAUCUACAAGGCAAAAGGUAGCGUGGAAGGGAAUGCAAAAGGGUCGUCCUAAUUAGUACAUAUUAAUCGAAGGACUAGUUAUUACAUAAACUUUUGUAUGUGUGGUAUUAUUAUGAGUGAAUGUAUGUGUGAACUAUCGUUGUAAACAUAUGUGAAUCUAGAAAGUGUUGGCAAUUGCACUCUUGCUUGUAACGUUGAUUUUUACUUGUAAUGAACUGAUGGGUUUGUGUACCUCUUUCCAGUUGGAAGCUAAAAAUGUUUAUAUUUGUUAGAAACUAAAGAUCAACAUUGCUUUGGUUUAGGACUCACUCUGCGAGUCUCAUCUAUGUAUUUUUCU